AAUCUUCUCAUUUCUUGAUAACAAUAUACAAAAUUUAGCAAAACAAGAACACUAAUAACACUAUCAAUCUUCUCAUUUCUUGAUAACAAUAUACAAAAUUUAGCAUAACAAGAACACUAACAACAUUAUCAAUCUCCUUAUUUCUUGAUAACAAUAUACAAAAUUUAGCAAAACAAGAACACUAAGAACACUAUCAAUCUUCUCAUUUCUUGAUAACAAUAUACAAAAUUUAGCAAAACAAGAACACUAAUAACACUAUCAAUCUUCUCAUUUGUUGAUAACAAUAUACAAAAUUUAGCAAAACAAGAACACUAAUAACACUAUCAAUCUUCUCAUUUGUUGAUAACAAUAUACAAAAUUUAGCAAAACAAGAACACUAAUAACACUAUCAAUCUUUUCAAUUUUUCAUAACAAUAUACAGGUAAGUAUGCUAAGAAAAAAGAAGCAAAAAAAUAACUCACGAAAUAGAGUCCUGAAGAUGUGCGUACGGAUAUAGGAAGCAGCGGUGUGGCCUUUGAAGCCAUCAUAAAUUCCAACGAAUAGUGCGUCAUGGCUUACAUCGUCGUAGUUGUGAUCUUCCAUAUCCUUAUUUGACUAACAGAAGCCAUGGAGAAUUCCCCAUGGCAAUGCCUUUCAUUUUUGGGAGAUUUUGGUAAAGGGUCAGCGUUAAAUGUUUCUUGAUAACAAGAACACUAAUAACACUAUCAAUCUUCUCAUUUCUUGAUAACAAUAUACAAAAAUUAGCAAAACAAGAACACUAAUAACACUAUCAAUCUUCUCAUUUCUUGAUAACAAUAUACAAAAUUUAGCAAAACAAGAACACUAAUAACACUAUCAAUCUUCUCAUUUCUUGAUAACAAUAUACAAAAAUUAGCAAAACAAGAACACUAAUAACACUAUCAAUCUUCUCAUUUCUUAAUAACAAUUUACAAAAUUUAGCAAAACAAGAACACUAAUAACACUAUCAAUCUUUUCAUUUCUUCAUAACAAUAUACAGGUAAGUAUGCUAAGAAAAAAGAAGCAAAAAAAUAACUCACGCAAUAGAGUCCUAAAGAUGUGCGUACGGAUAUAGGAAGCAGCGGUGUGGCCUUUGAAGCCAUCAUAAAUUCCAACGAACUGUGCGUCAUGGCUUACAUCGUCCUAGUUGUGACCUUCCAUAUCCUUAUUUAACUAACAGAAGCCAUGGAGAAUUCCCCAUGGCAAUGCCUUUCAUUUUUGGGAGAUUUUGAUAAAGGGCCAGCGUUAAAUGUUUCUUGAUAACAAGAACACUAAUAACACUAUCAAUCUUCUCAUUUCUUGAUAACAAUAUACAAAAUUUAGCAAAACAAGAACACUAAUAACACUAUCAAUCUUCUCAUUUCUUGAUAACAAUAUACAAAAUUUAGCAAAACAAGAACACUAAUAACACUAUCAAUCUUCUCAUUUCUUGAUAACAAUAUACAAAAUUUAGCAAAACAAGAACACUAAUAACACUAUCAAUCUUCUCAUUUCUUGAUAACAAUAUACAAAAUUUAGCAAAACAAGAACACUAAUAACACUAUCAAUCUUCUCAUUUCUUGAUAACAAUAUACAAAAUUUAGCAAAACAAGAACACUAAUAACACUAUCAAUCUUCUCAUUUCUUGAUAACAAUAUACAAAAUUUAGCAAAACAAGAACACUAAUAACACUAUCAAUCUUCUCAUUUCUUGAUAACAAUAUACAAAAUUUAGCAAAACAAGAACACUAAUAACACUAUCAAUCUUCUCAUUUCUUGAUAACAAUAUACAAAAUUUAGCAAAACAAGAACACUAAUAACACUAUCAAUCUUCUCAUUUCUUGAUAACAAUAUACAAAAUUUAGCAAAACAAGAACACUAAUAACACUAUCAAUCUUCUCAUUUCUUGAUAACAAUAUACAAAAUUUAGCAAAACAAGAACACUAAUAACACUAUCAAUCUUCUCAUUUCUUGAUAACAAUAUACAAAAUUUAGCAAAACAAGAACACUAAUAACACUAUCAAUCUUCUCAUUUCUUGAUAACAAUAUACAAAAUUUAGCAAAACAAGAACACUAAUAACACUAUCAAUCUUCUCAUUUCUUGAUAACAAUAUACAAAAUUUAGCAAAACAAGAACACUAAUAACACUAUCAAUCUUCUCAUUUCUUGAUAACAAUAUACAAAAUAGAGAGAUCAAAUACAAGAACACUAUAACACUAUCAAUCUCUCAUUUCUUGAUAACAUAUACAAAAUUUAGCAAACAAGAACACUAAUAACACUAUCAUCUUCUCAUUUCUUGAUAACAAUAUACAAAAUUUAGCAAACAAGAACACUAAUAACACUAUCAAUCUUCUCAUUUUCUGAUAACAAUAUACAAAAUUUAGCAAAACAAGAACACUAAUAACAUCUAUCAUCUCCUUAUUCUUGAUAACAAUAUACAAAAUUUAGCAAACAAGAACACUAAUAACAUUAUCAAUCUUCUCAUUUCUUGAUAACAAUAUACAAAAUUUAGCAAAACAAGAACACUAAUAACACUAUCAAUCUUCUCAUUUCUUGAUAACAAU
rnacentral:lncRNA from 1 species